GGGGGUGAAAGGGCUCGACUUAAGUAUACGCUUUAAGAGUUGCGUGUCGAGGUUGCAAGGAGGCCUCGUUAACCACCUUGCACAUAUAAACGCAAACGCAGAAUAUGCAUAUGCGGGAAGUCCUGAAUUUAGCUUAAACUAAAUUUAGGCCUCCGAUUAAUCUGCCUGUGGGUUAAUCGGCGCAUUUAAGCAGGAUAGUCUUGACGAUUUUGUCUUUGUAGUCGUGACGAAACCCUAAAAGACUGGCUCAUUUUUGAUUUUGUCUAUCAAAGCAGGAUGAGCGAGAUUAAAUGAUAGGCUACACAUGUAGAUACUCUUAUUGUGUUAUUUAAGGACGCGGGUUCGACUCCCGCCACCUCCACCA
rnacentral:tmRNA from 1 species